rnacentral:rRNA from 1 species
UACAGAGGUCCCAAGCGUUGUUCGGAUUCACUGGGCGUAAAGGGUGCGUAGGUGGCCAGGUAAGUUCGGUGUGAAAGCUCGGAGCUUAACUCCGAAAUGGCAUUGAAUACUAUCUGGCUAGAGGGUCGGAGGGGAGACUGGAAUUCUCGGUGUAGCAGUGAAAUGCGUAGAUAUCGUGAGGAACACCAGAGGCGAAGGCGACUUCCUGGACAAUUGCUGACGCUCAGGCACGAAAGCGUGGGGAGCAAAAGGG